GGGAUUGCCUCAGUAACGGCGAGUGAAGCGGCAACAGCUCAAAUUUGAAAUCUGGCCCCCUCGGGGGGCCCGAGUUGUAAUUUGCAGAUUGUGCUUUUGGCGAGGCGCCUUCCGAGUUCCCUGGAACGGGACGCCACAGAGGGUGAGAGCCCCGUCUGGUCGGCCGCCGAGCCUCUGUAAAGCACCUUCGACGAGUCGAGUAGUUUGGGAAUGCUGCUCAAAAUGGGAGGUAUAUGUCUUCUAAAGCUAAAUACCGGCCAGAGACCGAUAGCGCACAAGUAGAGUGAUCGAAAGAUGAAAAGCACCUUGAAAAGGGGGUUAAACAGUAUGUGAAAUUGUUGAAAGGGAAGCGCUCGCGACCAGACUUGGGCCCGGCGGAUCACCCAGCGUUCUCGCUGGGGCACUCCGCCUCGUCCCAGGCCAGCAUCGGUUCGUGCCGGGGGACAAAGGCGGCGGGAACGUGGCUCCCCCGGGAGUGUUAUAGCCCGCCGCGCAAUGCCCUGGGGCGGACCGAGGAUUCGCGCAUCUGCAUGGAUGCUGGCGUAAUGGUCACCAGCGACCCGUCUUGAAACACGGACCAAGGAGUCGUCUUCGUAUGCGAGUGUUCGGGUGUCAAACCCCUACGCGUAAUGAAAGUGAACGCAGGUGAGAGCUUCGGCGCAUCAUCGACCGAUCCUGAUGUUCUCGGAUGGAUUUGAGUAGGAGCAUACGGGGCCGGACCCGAAAGAAGGUGAACUAUGCCUGUGUAGGGUGAAGCCAGAGGAAACUCUGGUGGAGGCUCGCAGCGGUUCUGACGUGCAAAUCGAUCGUCAAACAUGGGCAUGGGGGCGAAAGAC
rnacentral:rRNA from 1 species